AUACGUAGGGAGCAAGCGUUGUCCGGAUUUACUGGGUGUAAAGGGUGCGUAGGCGGCACUGCAAGUCAGGCGUGAAAGCCGGAGGCUUAACCUCCGAACUGCGUUUGAAACUGUGGUGCUUGAGUGAAGUAGAGGUAGGCGGAAUUCCCGGUGUAGCGGUGAAAUGCGUAGAGAUCGGGAGGAACACCAGUGGCGAAGGCGGCUUACUGGGCUUUAACUGACGCUGAGGCACGAAAGCAUGGGUAGCAAACAGGAUUAGAUACCCUGGUAGUCCAUGCCGUAAACGAUGAUUACUAGGUGUGGGGGGUCUGACCCCUUCCGUGCCGGAGUUAACACAAUAAGUAAUCCACCUGGGGAGUACGGCCGCAAGGUUGAA
rnacentral:rRNA from 1 species